rnacentral:rRNA from 1 species
GAUGAACGCUGGCGGCGUGCUUAACACAUGCAAGUCGAACGAUGAAGGAGGAGCUUGCUCCUCUGGAUUAGUGGCGAACGGGUGAGUAACACGUGAGCAAUCUGCCCUUGACUCUGGGAUAAGCGUUGGAAACGACGUCUAAUACCGGAUACGAGCCGAGCAGGCAUCUGCAUCGGUUGGAAAGAACUUCGGUCAGGGAUGAGCUCGCGGCCUAUCAGCUAGUUGGUGAGGUAAUGGCUCACCAAGGCGACGACGGGUAGCCGGCCUGAGAGGGUGACCGGCCACACUGGGACUGAGACACGGCCCAGACUCCUACGGGAGGCAGCAGUGGGGAAUAUUGCACAAUGGGCGCAAGCCUGAUGCAGCAACGCCGCGUGAGGGACGACGGCCUUCGGGUUGUAAACCUCUUUUAGCAGGGAAGAAGCGAGAGUGACGGUACCUGCAGAAAAAGCACCGGCUAACUACGUGCCAGCCGCCGCCGUAA